rnacentral:rRNA from 1 species
UUGAACGCUGGCGGAAUGCUUUACACAUGCAAGUCGAGCGGCAGCGCGGGGGCAACCCUGGCGGCGAGCGGCGAACGGGUGAGUAAUGUAUCGGAACGUACCCUGUCGUGGGGGAUAACACAGCGAAAGCUGUGCUAAUACCGCAUACGACCUGAGGGUGAAAGCGGGGGAUCGCAAGACCUCGCGCGAUAGGAGCGGCCGAUAUCGGAUUAGCUUGUUGGUGAGGUAAAGGCUCACCAAGGCGACGAUCCGUAGCUGGUCUGAGAGGACGACGAGCCACACUGGAACUGAGACACGGUCCAGACUCCUACGGGAGGCAGCAGUGGGGAAUUUUGGACAAUGGGGGCAACCCUGAUCCAGCCAGUCCGCGUGAGUGAAGAAGGCCUGCGGGUUGUAAAGCUCUUUCAGCAGGAACGAAACGGUGGCUACUAAUACUAGCUACGAAUGACGGUACCUGAAGAAGAAGCACCGGCUAACUACGU